CACGUAGGGUGCGAGCGUUGUCCGGAAUUAUUGGGCGUAAAGAGCUCGUAGGCGGUGUGUCGCGUCGGCCGUGAAAACUUGGGGCUUAACUCUGAGCGUGCGGUCGAUACGGGCAUCACUUGAGUUCGGCAGGGGAGACUGGAAUUCCUGGUGUAGCGGUGGAAUGCGCAGAUAUCAGGAGGAACACCAAUAGCGAAGGCAGCUCGCUGGGACGGUACUGACGCUAAGGCGCGAAAGCGUGGGGAGCAAACAGG
rnacentral:rRNA from 1 species